rnacentral:rRNA from 1 species
AUUGAACGCUGGCGGCAGGCCUAACACAUGCAAGUCGAGCGGAUGAAGGGAGCUUGCUCCUGGAUUCAGCGGCGGACGGGUGAGUAAUGCCUAGGAAUCUGCCUGGUUGUGGGGUAUAACGUCCGGAAACGGGCGCUAAUACCGCAUACGUCCUUAGGGAGAAAGUGGGGGAUCUUCGGACCUCUCGCUAUCAGAUGUGCCUAGGUCGGAUUAGCUAGUUGUUUGGGUAAAGGCCUACCAAGGCGACGAUCCGUAACUGGUCUGAGAGGAUGAUCAGUCACACGGGAACUGAGACACGGUCCAGACAACUACGGGAGGAAGCAGUGGGGAAUAUUGGACAAUGGGGGAAAGCAUGAUACAGCAAUGCCGCGUGUGAGAAGAAGGUCUUCGGAUUGUAAAGCACUUUAAGUUGGGAGGAAGGGCAGUAAGUUAAUACCUUGAUGUAUUGACGUUACCAAAAGAAGAAGCACCGGCUAACUACGUG